CAUAUUAUGAUGCCUUUUUAACUGAUCACAUGAUUCUUUCCAAAUAUUAAUUCUCAGUCUCAUGACCUGCAGCAGAACAUAUUUUCACUUUUGUAUCCAAACAUAUUGUGUGUUUGAUGCAGAAGAGAUGGUGAAGGAAAUCACACCAGGAUACUAUGAUGAUGUCAUCACUGUUGGACUGAAACCAGAUCGUGAGACAGAAGACACACCUGAGAGCUAUGAUGAUGUCAUGAUGAGCAGACAUGACUCUGAUAUCAAAAAAGGUGUUUUACUUUAUUCAUUUUUUAAAAAUAAUAUAUAUAUAUGGGUUUUUUAGUUUACAUUUAAAUUGUAGUAGACGCACCAGAGAAUUAUGGUGAUGUUAUCAUUAAUAGACCGAGCUCUCAAGGGGUAUGUUUAGAUGAGUAUCAGACAUGUAAUCAAGUCACUGAAGGGAAAAAGGAUCCUUCAAAUGUGAUAAAGUGUUUUAUAAACUGAUAUUACAUAUUUUUAUGUCAUUCUUGAUCAGAGAGAGUUCAGGAGAAGAAUGAUGAUGUCAUGAGUGUCAGUGAAGAUGUGAGAAACCUGUCGGGUAAGUUAUUAUAACCCUUUAUGUUAUCAUUAAAUUAACAUCUUUAUUUAGAUUUGAAUAUUUUUUAUAUUUUUCCAGUUGUUAAGACUUCAAAUAUUUAUUCAAUUACAGUAUUUGACAUAAUUUAAGAUGUUGUUUUUAAUAACAGAUUAUGAUGAUGUGGAGGAGGAGUCAAACAAAGAAGGGGGGCAUUUGGCUCAAUGAUCUCAUCCACUGCUUCGGUUCAACACAUCUGAACAAAGUUCGAGUUAUUGAUAUAUCGAUAUUGUUAUUGAUGUCAAAUCUCAGGUUUUUAUAUUUUUCCCCAUUUUUGUAUUAAAUCUGUUAUGCCUUUGUGGAUUUUGUUGGAUUUUUUUGUUUGUUUGUUUUUGGCCUUGUUAAUAGCAAUAAAAAAAAUAUUCAGACAAGUUUUUGUAUGUCAAUAAGAGAUUACAUGAUGCCUGAAGUCAAAUGUCUAAUCUUACCUUAUAAAGCACAAACACAGUGACAAUCAAAACAUCCUAAAUAUAAACCCAAAUGAGCAUCAGUGAUGUAACAGUCCUCAGCUUCACCCCAGAAAGUACUGGAGUUCAUGAGUGGAUAAUGCUGAAAAAAUGCUUGCAUUUAUUUUGGAUACAAUAAGUAACUUUCACAAUAGAAAGAAAAUAAAUAAGUCAACUAAAAUCAACUUUUUCAACUAUUAUUAUCUUAUGUGAUCAGGCUUGUUAUAAAUCAAUAAAUAAAUUAUGCAUAUUACUUGUCUGCUGAGCUUUUAUAUUUUACUUAUAAACUACUUUUAUAUUCUACAUUUCAUUGUAGAAGUACUGUGUUAUAUAUGUGUAAUUCAACAACCUGUAACACGUUUAAAAUCUUUCUUCUACCAUAUGUAAUAAUAUAAUAAUAUAACAAUAUAUUAUGACUUAACACUGCUUAACAAUAGAAUAUUAAUAUCCCAGUGCAGCUCAUGUCAUAUCUAUCAAUAUAAAACAAGCACAGCUGCCUGUUGUGUGAUGUAACGCAAUUUCAUCAAUAUACAAGGUAAUGUCCUUCUACUUUUGAUAUUCUUUUGUUUGUAAAUUAUCCUUACCUGAUGACAAACAACAUUAUGGAGCAGCAGGUUUCUUUUUCCAUUUUAUUAUCUGUUA
rnacentral:lncRNA from 1 species